UGGUGGAGUGAUUUGUCUGGUUAAUUCCGAUAACGAACGAGACCUCAGCCUGCUAAUUAGUUAUGCAAAUGAUUACAUACGCAAGUAGGGGGUCUUUGUUCAAGGUUGCUUCGGUGACAUUGAAUAAAGAAACUCGCUUUCAUUUGUCAGAGAGGGUUACUCAGCUUCGGUUGGGUGCUUUCUCGUUAGUAACUUCUUAGAGGGACACUUGGUUUCUAACCAAGGGAAGUUUGAGGCAAUAACA
rnacentral:rRNA from 1 species